rnacentral:snoRNA from 1 species
AAACCAUGAUGUAGGCAUCUCUGAAACAAGUCCCUAUACCUCUCCCAUACUUCAUACAAAGACUAAAAAUCCAACUGCAUGAAAGAAAUAAUAUCGUUCUUUGUAGUCU